rnacentral:rRNA from 1 species
AUACCCGCAGCCCAAGUGGUGGUCGAUUUUAUUGAGUCUAAAACGUUCGUAGCCGGUUCAUUAAAUCCUUGGGUAAAUCGGAUGGCUUAACUAUCCGAAUUCCGGGGAGACUGGUGAACUUGGGACCGGGAGAGGCAAGAGGUACUUUUGGGGUAGGGGUAAAAUCCUGUAAUCCUAGAAGGACCACCGGUGGCGAAGGCGUCUAGCUAGAACGGAUCCGACGGUGAGGGACGAAGCCCUGGGUCGCAAACGGGAUUAGAUACCCCGGUAGUCCAGGGUGUAAACGCUGCCGACUUGGUGUUGGAGGCCCUUCGGGGGCAUUCAGUGCCGGAGAGAAGUUGUUAAGUCGGCCACUUGGGGAGUACGUCCGCAAGGAUGAAACUUAAAGGAAUUGGCGGGG